rnacentral:lncRNA from 1 species
UGAACAUUCCAGGCUCUGUGAACUAAGUGACUGAAGCUGAUUGACACAGGUCAAGGGGACUUCAAGGAAGAAAGCCAGCCUUAGACUGACAUCAGAGAACCAAACUCCGGUGUCUAAGCUCAAGCCUUGCGUGGAUGAAACAGUCCCAACGAACACUUUAAAAAGACAAAUGUUCCCGACAGCACUGGUUGAAUUCAAAACUCGGCAGAUCCAUGUUCUUAUCCUUAGACAAGAGAGGGGCCAUAACAAGAUGGAAUGACGGAACAGACGUGAGAGAUGAUGUCCACCCAGAGGGUCUGCACUUCUCGGAGCCAGAAGGUGGAGAAGAGUAGGGAUGGAGGAAGUUCGAAGUUUUAGGAGUCUGCUCUUGGGUCCCUAGGCAUGAGGACAAGCUUUUCCUGUACUCAAUGCUCAUCUCUCAGUUGUGCCCACAUUGGUACACAUUACUUGCUUUCAACUGCUGCUGCUGCUGUUUCCUAAUUCAAUAAAGAUAUGGCUGGCUCAGCAGAGAGCUGUCAUCCA